rnacentral:rRNA from 1 species
GACGAAUGCUGGCGGCGUGCCUAAUACGUGCAAGUCGAACGCUUUUUCUUUCACCGGAGCUUGCUCCACCGAAAGAAAAAGAGUGGCGAACGGGUGAGUGACACGUGGGUAACCUGCCCAUCAGAAGGGGAUAACACUUGGAAACAGGUGCUAAUACCGUAUAACACUAUUUUCCGCAUGGAAGAAAGUUGAAAGGCGCUUUUGCGUCACUGAUGGAUGGACCCGCGGUGCAUUAGCUAGUUGGUGAGGUAACGGCUCACCAAGGCAACGAUGCAUAGCCGACCUGAGAGGGUGAUCGGCCACACUGGGACUGAGACACGGCCCAGACUCCUACGGGAGGCAGCAGUAGGGAAUCUUCGGCAAUGGACGAAAGUCUGACCGAGCAACGCCGCGUGAGUGAAGAAGGUUUUCGGAUCGUAAAACUCUGUUGUUAGAGAAGGACAAGGAUGAGAGUAGAACGUUCAUCCCUUGACGGUAUCUAACCAGAAAGCCACGGCUAACUACGUGCCAGCCGCCGCGGUAA